GUGAACCUGCAGAUGGAUCAUCGUCGAAACUUACAAUAGUUCAUCGUUGAUUCGCAUGAGAGGCCAACACGCUAGUUCUUCACGACUUUGUCGGGAAGGUUGGUAGUAUCAUAUCACCUUUGGAACCCUUCG
rnacentral:rRNA from 1 species